rnacentral:rRNA from 1 species
UACGAAGGGGGCUAGCGUUGCUCGGAAUUACUGGGCGUAAAGCGCACGUAGGCGGCUUCUUAAGUCGGAGGUGAAAUCCUGGAGCUCAACUCCAGAACUGCCUUCGAUACUGGGAAGCUCGAGUCCGGGAGAGGUGAGUGGAACUGCGAGUGUAGAGGUGAAAUUCGUAGAUAUUCGCAAGAACACCCGUGGCUAAGGCGGCUCUCUAGUACGGUACUGACGCUGAGACGCGAAAGCGUGGGGAGCGAACAGG